UAACGCGAAGAACCUUACCUGGGUUUGACAUGCACGUGAAACCCCUGUGAAAGCAGGGGCCUCCUUCGGGACACGCGCACAGGUGCUGCGUGGCUGUCGUCAGCUCGUGUCGUGAGAUGUUGGGUUAAGUCCCGCAACGAGCGCAACCCUUGCCCCGUGUUACUAACAGGUCAAGCUGAGGACUCUCGGGGGACUGCCGGCGUCAAACCGGAGGAAGGUGGGGACGACGUCAAGUCAUCAUGGCCCUUACGCCCAGGGCUACACACGUGCUACAAUGGCCAGGACAGAGGGCUGCGAGACCGCAAGGUGGAGCGAAUCCCAGAAACCUGGCCCAAGUUCGGAUUGCGGGCUGCAACUCGCCCGCAUGAAGCCGGAAUCGCUAGUAAUCGC
rnacentral:rRNA from 1 species